rnacentral:rRNA from 1 species
GAUGAACGCUGGCGGCGUGCCUAAUACAUGCAAGUCGAGCGAAUGGAUUAAGAGCUUGCUCUUAUGAAGUUAGCGGCGGACGGGUGAGUAACACGUGGGUAACCUGCCCAUAAGACUGGGAUAACUCCGGGAAACCGGGGCUAAUACCGGAUAACAUUUUGAACCGCAUGGUUCGAAAUUGAAAGGCGGCUUCGGCUGUCACUUAUGGAUGGAACCGCGUCGCAUUAGCUAGUUGGUGAGGUAACGGCUCACCAAGGCAACGAUGCGUAGCCGACCGGAGAGGGGAGUCGGCCACACUGGGACUGAGAUACGGCCCAGACUCCUACGGGAGGCAGCAGUAGGGAAUCUUCCGCAAUGGACGAAAGUCUGACGGAGCAACGCCGCGUGAGUGAUGAAGGCUUUCGGGUCGUAAAACUCUGUUGUUAGGGAAGAACAAGUGCUAGUUGAAUAAGCUGGCACCUUGACGGUACCUAACCAGAAAGCCACGGCUAACUACGUGCCAGCAGCCGCAGUAA